rnacentral:lncRNA from 1 species
GGUCCUACCUCAGACUCUGAAACAUGAUGAUCAACUGGACUCGGUUUGGGCACAGAAAAAAAUGGACCCUUCCCCUCAGCAUGCUCCUCCUCCUCAACUGUAGCUGUACGGAUCUUGGCCCAACGACCAUCAACUUUGACAAACCCCAUGCGCCGAAGGGAGUGGUUAUUGUAGGUAUCGGUGUAUGACAGUCUACAAACAAUCUCUUCCUCAAAACUCACUCUAAACUCUCUAAAAAUCACAGUGAGAGCCAUGCCGUAUGGCAAGAAAGCCUUGGAUCUGUUCAAGACCUCCCUCAUGGCAUCGAUCAUCAGGAAAGG